CUAAUACGGAUACUGCAGCAAGUUACUCUCCCUGAGCUGUGUCUGGGUGGUAUAGGAGAGCAGAGGGCUCUAUCCCAUGAUGUACAGUUCCUUUCUAUGAUGUUGAGGAAGCUAUGAGCCUCCCAUCUGCACCUGCAUAUUCCUAUAACUUCUCAGAAUUCUGAGGGUGACUACAGGAGACAAACUGUGCAAGAUACACUA